GAUGAACAGUGGUUAGAGUGAUCUACAGUUUUUUGUGGUUUUUUUUUGUUUGUUUGUUUUGUUUUGUAUAUGUGUGUAUGUGGAAUUCAGUUUGAUAUUUCCUCUGGCACAGCAGCAAGAGUUAACAGCUGUCCCCUGAACAUCAAGUCUUGCCCAGAAGGACACAGGCCCCGCUCCUCCUGUACGUGCAGACCUUCUUCCAGGCUCCCCUGUCCAUGUGUUUCUGCCACGGCUCACAAAAGCAGGCGUUCUGAGCACCAACGGGG
rnacentral:lncRNA from 1 species